rnacentral:rRNA from 1 species
ACACAUGCAGUCGAACGAUGAAGCCCUUCGGGGUGGAUUAGUGGCGAACGGGUGAGUAACACGUGGGCAAUCUGCCCUUCACUCUGGGACAAGCCCUGGAAACGGGGUCUAAUACCGGAUACGACUGCGGCUGGAUCUCCUUGUGGUGGAAAGCUCCGGCGGUGAAGGAUGAGCCCGCGGCCUAUCAGCUUGUUGGUGAGGUAACGGCUCACCAAGGCGACGACGGGUAGCCGGCCUGAGAGGGCGACCGGCCACACUGGGACUGAGACACGGCCCAGACUCCUACGGGAGGCAGCAGUGGGGAAUAUUGCACAAUGGGCGAAAGCCUGAUGCAGCGACGCCGCGUGAGGGAUGACGGCCUUCGGGUUGUAAACCUCUUUCAGCAGGGAAGAAGCGAAAGUGACGGUACCUGCAGAAGAAGCGCCGGCUAACUACGUGCCAGCAGCCGCGGUAAUACGUAGGGCGCAAGCGUUGUCCGGAAUUAUUGGGCGUAAAGAGCUCGUAGGCGGCUUGUCACGUCGGGUGUGAAAGCCCGGGGCUUAACCCCGGGUCUGCAUCCGAUACGGGCAGGCUAGAGUGUGGUAGGGGAGAUCGGAAUUCCUGGUGUAGCGGUGAAAUGCGCAGAUAUCAGGAGGAACACCGGUGGCGA